GGUGAUAUAACUCAGUUGGUAGAGUGCUUGCCUCUCAAGAGGCACAAGGUCCUGGGUUCAAUCCCCAGCACCA
rnacentral:tRNA from 1 species